rnacentral:rRNA from 1 species
GAUGAACGCUGGCGGCGUGCCUAAUACAUGCAAGUCGAGCGAACAGACGAGGAGCUUGCUCCUCUGACGUUAGCGGCGGACGGGUGAGUAACACGUGGAUAACCUACCUAUAAGACUGGGAUAACUUCGGGAAACCGGAGCUAAUACCGGAUAAUAUAUUGAACCGCAUGGUUCAAUAGUGAAAGACGGUUUUGCUGUCACUUAUAGAUGGAUCCGCGCCGCAUUAGCUAGUUGGUAAGGUAACGGCUUACCAAGGCAACGAUGCGUAGCCGACCUGAGAGGGUGAUCGGCCACACGUGAACGUAGGCACGGUCCAGACUCCUAAGGGAGGCAGCAGUAGGGAAUCUUCCGCAAUGGGCGAAAGCUUGACGGAGCAACGCCGCGUGAGUGAUGAAGGUCUUCGGAUCGUAAAACUCUGUUAUUAGGGAAGAACAAAUGUGUAAGUAACUAUGCACGUCUUGACGGUACCUAAUCAGAAAGCCACGGCUAACUACGU